GAUGAAGAACGUAGCGAAAUGCGAUACGUAAUGUGAAUUGCAGAUUUCAGUGAAUCAUCGAAUCUUUGAACGCACAUUGCGCCCGCCAGUAUUCUGGCGGGCAUGCCUGUUCGAGCGUCAUUUCAACCAUCAAGCGCCUCGCUUGUGUUGGGGCCCUGCGGCUGCCGCAGGCCCCUAAAUCCAGUGGCGGGCUCGUCGUCGUACCGAGUGCAGUAAACAUCCUCGCUGAGGGAACCCGACGGGUGCCGGCCGUGAAACCCCCCCUCCUCAAGGUUGACCUCGGAUCAGGUAGGAAUACCCGCUGAACUUAAGCAUAUCAAUAAGCGGAGGA
rnacentral:misc_RNA from 1 species